GCCUGGGUGGCUCAGUCGGUUGAGCGUCCGACUUCGGCUCAGGCCAUGAUCUCGCGGUCUGUGAGUUCGAGCCCCACAUCGGGCU
rnacentral:tRNA from 1 species